CUCAAGGGAUAUCAACUUUAGCAUCAACUUUUCUAAAUUAUUGUUUUCUUACUUACCAAAGUUACUUCCCUCUGAAGCUUUGCAUGCUUUCUGUUUAUUCUGCUGUGAUCGCUUUGCCACCUGGAUUAUAAAAACCUGGUGCCAGCUAUUUCAUUAAAACAGUGAAUUUAUAGCGUUUUUAUGCAUGUCUUUUGAAUCUGAC